GCUUAAUUUGACUCAACGCGGGAAAUCUUACCGGGUCCGGACACACUGAGGAUUGACAGGCAAUAUUAAAUACUACUCUAACUAUACUCUCGUAUAUGUUCUGUUGUAUUUAUGUUAAAUAUGCUAGUCCUUUCAUGAUUAUGUGAUAGGUGGUGCAUGGCCGUUCUUAGUUCGUGGAGUGAUCUGUCUGCUUAAUUGCGUUUCACUAAGGGCCUAUACAUUUACGUGUGUUGCGGCACUUUGACCCCUCUUAUUCACGUAAGAGCGCGUGUCUUAGUUUUUGCUUAGCUCGCACAAUUAGGUCCUGAAAGCAACGAACGUGACCGCAACCUCUUGUUGCCUUUUGAUACCAACGGCGCAUUUUGUUCACAUUCACUUUCGCUUGCGUUAAGUGUAUUGUGGUGAAAUUGUGCUGCAAAAAGGCUUUCUAAACUAGAGGGACCGCUGUUACUUUCUUAAACCAGAGGAAGGUUGCGGCAAUAACAGGUCUGUGA
rnacentral:rRNA from 1 species